CAAAUUACCUAGGGGUGUCCCGACAAGGGGCUGAGAUAUCGCUGGCAGAUGCAGCGCGGUGACCCUUUGAACCUGAUCCGGAUCAUGCCGGCGAAGGGACAGGAUCGCACCGCUCUC
rfam:Roseovarius indicus strain B108 contig3, whole genome shotgun sequence.